UACGUCCGUAUCACGUUGAAAAACAUUUUCCCGUACGAUCACCGAAGUAAAGCAACGUCGAGUGUAGUCAGUACCUAGAUGGGUGAUCUUUUGGAAAUAUCAGGUGCUGCAA